CCUACGGGUGGCAGCAGUGAGGAAUAUUGGUCAAUGGACGGAAGUCUGAACCAGCCAUGCCGCGUGCAGGAAGACGGCUCUAUGAGUUGUAAACUGCUUUUGUACAAGGGUAAACCUGAAUACGUGUAUUCAGCUGAAAGUACUGUACGAAUAAGGAUCGGCUAACUCCGUGCCAGCAGCCGCGGUAAUACGGAGGAUCCAAGCGUUAUCCGGAUUUAUUGGGUUUAAAGGGUGGGUGGGGGGAUGGUUAAGUUGGAGGGGAAAUGUCCGAGCUCACUCGGGAACUGCCUCUAAUACUGUUGAUCUAGAGAGUAGAUGCGGUAGGCGGAAUGUAUGGUGUAGCGGUGAAAUGCUUAGAGAUCAUACAGAACACCGAUUGCGAAGGCAGCUUACCAAUCUAUAUCUGACGUUGAGGCACGAAAGCGUGGGGAGCAAACAGGAUUAGAUACCCUUGUAGUC
rnacentral:rRNA from 1 species